AGAUUUGACCUCUCUCCCUGACGCGAGAAGCAGUCAUCCAGACAACAACAACAACAACCUGAGAAUCGUUUCUGCAGAGAGAGAUGAGAUUGUUCGAUCCAUGGCCAGUGUUCUUCAAGAGAGAAUGGAAACGUUGCUGGCCAUUCCUCACCGGUUUCGCCGUCACCGGCGUCCUCAUCACCAAGUUAACCGCCGGAUUCACUGAGGAAGAUGCCAAGAACUCCAAGUUCGUCCAGCAACACAGGAGGUGAGGAUGAUGAUUCACGAAAGUGUGGAAGCUAAGAGGCAUAUUUCUGGAACAUAUAUAGUGUUGGAUGCUUCAGCUUCGAAACUUGUUCAAUAACAAAAGAAGAGCAUUCGAUAUACUCUUUUUCUUUUCUCUGAGUUUUGCAGUUCUUAUUCUGAAACUUUACCAAUGCUAUGGUUUUGUUCACUGUAUCUUCUUCUUCCCAUUGGAAAUGGAUUCAAUAAGGCUUUGUCUCCCCAAUGAAUGUUAACUUUUUGUUCUAAUAAUCCUGUCAGUAGUUCCAAUCUUAA